UCCCAGGAGCCCCAUCCUGAACUUGGAAGGUGUAGCCUUCAGAGGUAGUUUCCAGCACAACGUUUUGAUCUUCCUCUUCCUGGAAAUAUACUAAAAAAUAAAUAUAAAAAGAAUAUAAUUAUUCUAAGCAGCAGCCUAUCUAGAAGUCUGUAUUCAAUCUCUAGGUCUUGAUCUGCAUAUUAUACCUUUAAUCCUGUAUGAUAUUCUAGUAUUUGACAUAGGGGAGGGAGGGUCUCUGAAACUUUGCCAAUUCAUGAGUGAAUGCUACUACAGUAACAGAAACAGGUCGAGAUUUUUUUCUUCCCCAACUGUCACUUUUCAAUAGGAAAAGACUGUAUUAGGCCCAGAGCAUGGCGGUGGGUUUGGCCUCCUUCUCUAUCACCUUCUACAAUGACACCCACUAACUUACCCUCCAGAUAGUCUAAGAUGCUCAAGGCUGUCCAUUUGAAACUAAUCUGGUGACUUUUAAAAUCUCACCUCAAUGCCAAGACCAAGGUUCGAGGGCUUAUUGAGAUCAUCUCCAAUGCAGCAGGGUACGAGAACAUUCCCAUCCGGCACCAUGAAGACAACUUCCUGAGGCAGUUGGCUCAGAAGGUCCCCCACAAGCUGAAUAACCCUAAGUUCAAUGAUCCACACAUCAAGGCCAACCUGCUCCUGCAGGCUCGCCUGUCCCGCAUGCAGCUGAGUGCUGAGUUGCAGUCACAUACGGAGGAAAUCCUUAGUAAGGCAAUCCGGCUUAUCCAGGCCUGCGUGGAUGUCCUCUCCCGCAAUGGGUGGCUCAGCUCUGCUGCGGCAGCUAUGCAACUGGCCCAGAGGGUCACUCAAGCCUUGUGGUCCCAGGACUCAUACCUGAAGCAGCUGCCACACUUCACCUCUGAGCAUAUCAAACGUUGCACAGACAAGGGAGUGGAGAGUGUUUUCGACAUCCUGGAGAUGGAGGAUGAAGAAUGGAACGCAUUGCUUCAGCUGACUGACAACCAGAUUACAGAUGUGGCUCGCUUUUGUAACCGCUACCCUAAUAUCGAACUAUCUUAUGAGGUGGUAGAUAAGGACAGCAUCCGCAGUGGCAGGCCAGUGGUGGUGCUGGUGCAGGUGCAGCGAGAGGAGGAAGUCACAGGCCCUGUCGUUGUGCCUCUCUUCCCGCAGAAACAUGAAGAGGGCUGGUGGGUGGUGACUGGAGAUGCCACGUCCAGUAGCCUCAUCUCCAUCAAGAGGCUGACGCUGAGGCAGAAGGCCAAGGUGAAGUUGGACUUUGUGGCCCCAGCCACUGGUGCCCACAACGACACUCCAUAUUUCAUGAGUGACACUUACAUGGGAUGUGACCAGGAGUACAAAUUCAGUGUGGAUGUGACAGAAGCCGAGACGGACAGUGAUUCAGACUGAGUCCUGAGGCAUUUACUCUUGGGUAAAGGAGAGUUGAGCCUGAAUUAGGAAUGUGUACAUUGUACGGAUCCUGGUGGUUAUGGGGACCAGGUCUGUGGGCCCGAUGUCUGGCCAGCCAGGGCUAGUGCUGUCCCCGCCCACCUCCACUUCCUUUUCCCUUGUUCACACUCUGGAUCCCGUGACAGCAGGGGUCAUGGGUCAAGCAUAAAUCAUAUAUAGCAUUUUCAGGCAUGUUACUGGUAGUUCCUUUUGAGUCUGACAUUCUAAUAAAAUAAUUUGUAGAAACCAAAAAA